rnacentral:rRNA from 1 species
GACGAACGCUGGCGGCGUGCUUAACACAUGCAAGUCGAACGAGUGGCGAACGGGUGAGUAAUACGUGAGUAACCUGCCCUCUUUUUGGGAUAAGCCUUGGAAACGGGGUCUAAUACCGGAUAAUGGGGGAUGGGCUCGCGGCCUUUCAGCUUGUUGGUGGGGUAAUGGCCUACCAAGGCGGUGACGGGUAGCCGGCCUGGGAGGGUGACCGGCAACAUUUGGACUGAGAUACUGCCAAGACUGCUACGUGAGGAAGCUGUGGGGGAUAUUGCACAAUGGGCGAAAGCCUGAUGCAGCGACGCCGCGUGGGGGAUGAAGGCUUUCGGGUUGUAAACCUCUUUCGCUAUGGAAAGGGUAGGUGGAGAAGAAGCGCCGGCUAACUACGUGCCAGCAGCCGCGGUAAUUC